GACACACAUUUUACCACUUUGGAAGUGUCUCUCGCGCAAACUAUUCAGUUUAGAAAAAAAUUAUAUUAGGAACCUCAAUAUCAUUUUUGAAGACCUAUCCAUAGAUACCCCACACGUAUGGGUUUGAUGAAAAAAUAAUUUUUGAUAUUAAAAAAAAACUACUUACUAGAUCUCGUUCAAACCAAUUUUCGGUGGAAGUUUACAUGGUAAUGUACAUCAUAUAUUUUUUUUAGUUUUAUCAUUCUGUUAUUUUAGAAGUUACGGGGGGGGGGACACACAUUUUACCACUUUGGAAGU